GUAGGUGAACCUGCGGAAGGAUCAUUAAUGAAUUUAGAUUGAACCAUAGGCGAAAGCCAGUGGUUCUUCUUUCAUAUCCAUAACACCUGUGCACUGUUGGAUGCUUGCAUCCACUUUUAAACUAAACAUUAUUGUAACAAAUGUAGUCUUAUUAUAACAUAAUAAAACUUUCAACAACGGAUCUCUUGGCUCUC
rnacentral:misc_RNA from 1 species